CCUACGGGCGGCAGCAGUGGGGAAUAUUGGACAAUGGGGGCAACCCUGAUCCAGCCAUGCCGCGUGUGUGAAGAAGGCCCUCGGGUUGUAAAGCACUUUCAGUGAGGAAGAACGCCUGGUGGUUAAUACCCAUCAGGAAAGACAUCACUCACAGAAGAAGCACCGGCUAACUCCGUGCCAGCAGCCGCGGUAAUACGGAGGGUGCGAGCGUUAAUCGGAAUUACUGGGCGUAAAGCGCGCGUAGGUGGCUUGAUAAGCCGGUUGUGAAAGCCCCGGGCUCAACCUGGGAACGGCAUCCGGAACUGUCAAGCUAGAGUGCAGGAGAGGAAGGUAGAAUUCCCGGUGUAGCGGUGAAAUGCGUAGAGAUCGGGAGGAACACCAGUGGCGAAGGCGGCUUUCUGGACUGACACUGACGCUGAGGUGCGAAAGCGUGGGUAGCAAACAGGAUUAGAUACCCGGGUAGUC
rnacentral:rRNA from 1 species